GUGUGCGAGCGAGUCUCCCUCCCUCUAAUGCAGGAAAUGCGCAAAAGACGUCGUGUUUGGGGAAAUAGAAAGUUUUGCCGGUUGGGGGAGCAAUACGGAAAAAGUGAGCCGACUGAUCAGCGCGCUGACAGCCGCCGUCCGGGCUGCGGGAAAAUGGGGCGCGCCCUCCGGGGGGCGAGUGGCUGUGUCCUUGCUAAUUUCCUCCGUAACCUUUAAACUCUCGCUGGAAGCUACCGCCGCGGCUGGUCACGUGAGGAGAGCCCUGGGCUGCUGGGGAAAAAUUUCC
rnacentral:lncRNA from 1 species